rnacentral:lncRNA from 1 species
CUUUCUAUCGAUCCUCUCUACUCGCUAUCUCCCUCACCCUCACUCUUCUCUCGUGGAUCCAUUGGGUGAUGGUGAAUAAGGUGUCUCCCCUGCCCAACUGACCUUGGAGCACAUCCUCCACGGCCGUCCAACCAUGAGGUAAGUGGUGGUUCCCAUCUUCAUUUUCCUCUCAUCUCUCGAUCACCCCCCCUCAUUCUCCCUGCUCCCAAGCUAGAUUCAGCAAGCCCACACUCGGGGGCUAGCUGCUGGCAGUGAGUCGACGCGGAGAAUGACAUGGCAGUGCCUGGAUCGAUGAUGUAGCACAAAGGCCACAUACCGAAGCCCUAGAGAUAAUGAUCAAAGCCUAGUUGGCCCAAAUCGAAGCCCUAGCAGCCUCGACUCUUGGGCUAGACGUCAGGGAGGACUUUUUUUUUGUUUUUUUCCUAAUUUACAGGUGGGGACAUUAUCACCGUCUCUACAAAUGACCAUAAUGCAGAGGCGAGAUCGCUCAGGGCUGCCUCUUUUAAUCAUUGAAAAAGUGUACUGUAGUAGUGUGUGUGGCCACAAUAAUGUAAUAACUUCUACCUUUUUCAUGCAAAGUUCUACCGGAUUAUGUCAUUUACAAAGUAAAAUAGAAAGCUGCCUUCAAAAAUCCGUAACAAGUAUGCACAGAUGUACUCCUUCGGUAUGUCCCUAUUCUUCGGUUAGUAAUUAGAGAGUAAUAAUAUACUCCUUCCAUUCAAAGUUAUAUGAUAUAUUUGUUUUCUAGAUAGAUAGCUUUUUUAGGUACAUACAGUAAAAACAAUACAUCUAGAGAGUCAAAACAGUUUACUCCCGCCGUUCAUGAAAGAAUGCAAAUGUAGAAUCUGUGCUGGUCGAAUUUGCUUCUAUUGAAACAAGUUUAUAAUAAAUAUUAUUAGCAUUAAUGCCAAGUAAAUUUAUUAUAAAAAUAUAUUCUAUAACAAAUCUAAUGGUACUUAUUUUGUACAAAAAAUGUUAAGAUUUUUUGUAUAUAAAUCCAGUCAAAGUUUAAAGUGUUUGACUUCUAAAAAAAUUAUAUUCUUUUAUGGAUGGAGAUAGAUAUAAUUUAGUGCAGAUGAAGU